GCCAACGACUUGUGACGCAAUGAUGCAUGGAAUGGAGAGUGUUGUGGUGAACAAAAUGAAGACGGUGUGAAUAUGUUCAUGUUCAGGUGCAACUAUGAAGGAUGCAUAAUCAUGAGCAUAUUCGAAAGCUUCUUCGUAGGUUGAAAGCCGAAACCCAUCAAAUAUGUCAAGCUCCUGGGUAUUUCCUAGAGCUCUUUUCUAUUAAUGGUUUCUACUACAAUGGUUAAUUGUUAAUGGUAUUAGGUUGUUCCGAACUAAAAACAUGUCCGCACUCAAGGGUGCUGACUUUUCCAUUAAAGUGUUCGAUAAACAUGCUUGAAGGUGACACUGGAUGCUCAAUAUGGCCGUCAAGUCUGUUUCUGUCCGAGCUAAUACUUUCUCAUCCAGAGUUAUUUUCUAAUAAAUUAUGCUUUGAGAUUGGCUCAGGAGUUGGCU